GCCUUUGUAGCUCAGUGGUAGAGUGUUUCCUUGGUAAGGAAAAGGCCAUGAGUUCAAUUCUCUUCAAAGGCU
rnacentral:tRNA from 1 species